rnacentral:rRNA from 1 species
CACCAGCCCCUCGAGUGGUGGGGAUGAUUAUUUGGCCUAAAGCGUCCGUAGCCGGCCGGGUAAGUUUCCCGUUAAAUCCAGCGUCUCAAGCGUUGGACUGCGGGAAAUACUGCCUGGCUAGAGAGUGGGAGAGGUCAGCGGUAUUCUGGGGGUAGGGCGAAAUCCUUUGAUCCCCGGAGGACCACCAGUGGCGAAGGCUGCUGACUAGAACACGUCUGACGGUCAGGGACGAAAGCUGGGGUAGCGAACCGGAUUAGAUACCCGGGUAGUCCCAGCCGUAAACGAUGCAUGCUAGGUGUUGGGUUGGCCACGAGCCACCCCAGUGCCGCAGGGAAGCCGUUAAGCAUGCCGCCUGGGAAGUACGAUCGCAAGAUUGAAACUUAAAGGAAUUGGCGGGGGAGCACCACCAGGCGUGAAGCCUGCGGUUU